GAUCGCAAGAGAAGCCCACCCCACCGCCCAGCUUCCCUAACCUCCCGAUGUCGCCCGAGCCCUCUCCCACCAGCGCGUCGCCGCCGCCCCGAGCCCCCUCCCACCAGCGCGUCGCCGCCGCCCCCAAGCCCCUCCCACUAGCGAGCCGCCGCCGCCCCGAUCGCCUUCCCACCAUCGCGCCGUCGUCGCCCCCAUGCCCCUCUCACCAGCGCGGCGCCGCCGCCCCGAUCCCCCUCCCACCAGCGCGGCGCCGCCACCCCAAGCCCCUCCCACUAGCGCGCCGCCACCGCUGCCCCGACCCCCCCUCCCACCAGCGCGCCGCCACCGCCCUAAACUCCCUCCCACGGCCAUAUCACCCGCGCCGCCGGCCGCUCCUCCCUCGCGCACGCCACCUGCGGCUGCCACGCCAUGGCAGGCACUGAGUCGUUGCGGCAGUACAAUUGCACGCUCCGCCGCUGGUCAUGAGAAGAGCUGCGUGCAGGCCACCCAUGCUCUUUUCCCUGGAUCCGAUUCAGUUGCCUUCCUCUCAUCCUCUCUCUGUUUGCGUGUGUGUAUGAAGGAAGUGAGAGGAGAUAGAACAAGGGAGUGACAGAUCCCCAUUCUCAUGUCUGUGAGAUGUGGGUGUGUGAUUUCCCAAUGUCAAAUCCCACGUUUGUCUUGAUUAGUUGUAGUUUUAUGGAUCUUGUUCUUGUGCAAUGUAAAUCUGUGUAUAGUUCACCUAUUUUCUCUCUAAAACUGUGAGCUGAUAGAGCAGAGAUGAGUUGACGGUGUGGGUUCAGGUAGUGAGAUUUGCAGCUAGUUGUUUACUUGCUUAGGUGGUUGCAAGGGCUUAGUCCAUGAGUUCUAUUUGAUUAUAGUCAGGCCACUAGUUAGUAUUGUGGUACUCCGUUGCAAGAAAAAUGGGUCGUCGGUUCAGUUAUAGGUACCCAACUCUGAAGAUUUUGAAAUUUUAGCAUGGUAUUUUAAGUUUGUUUUUUAUCAUAUAAUGUAAAAUUGUAAAUAUGUUUCCAAUGGUCUUUGCUCCCAGUUCGGAACUUCUUAUUCAGUCUGUUAGUACAGUCGUCGCGGUCGCCACCCCGACGCCUAGCCCGCCAACCUGCGUCGUGUUGCCCCGGGACCCCCGAGCACUGCCGCGCCCCAUCGCCGGUGCCUGACGGUGAGGGCUACCGUCUUUUCCCGACAAAGCAGGCUACCAUCCGUCCAUUGACAAUGCGUAUUUCCAGCCGUUGCUGCAUCUCUCUCUGCCCGUGGAUGCUCAUGUGCUGUAGUUGCUUUCUACCCUUCCUGUACAUGCUGCUACUCACCUUUUUAUCUCUCUGAUGCGUUGUGUUGCAUUACUACAGCUCGAUCCAGGAGGUGCUAGCUCAUACUGGCUGGAACUAGGAUGCAAAAGCGAUGACGGAUCCAUGCCGCACAAGCACUGGUGCUCUGCAUUCUUCUUACUUUGUGUUCUAAUUUGCUUUCUUCUUAUUUUCAGUUUGCGAGAUACAAAAAGAAGUUAAAAAAAUGUUGUGCCUGGAGUUCAUAUUAUUUGCUACCCCAUGAUGUACGUCUAUAGUUUCUCCCUCCAAAUGUGUUGGUCCAUGUGGUUGUUUUUUUUUGUUUUGAAUCUACGAAAAAGGUUAUUAAAGCACAAAUUUGAUAAGCACAUAAGUUCAGAUCUCCGCUGCUACAAACUUCACGUAUACAUCUGUCUGUUUUAAUUGUGGCAUACAAAUUUUGCACUACGAGAAAGUCCAGAGGCAAGAAAGUAGAAAAUAAAGAACACAAAAAUAUCAACAAAAAAUUCACUAGGGGAAAAGUUCAAGUCAGGAUAUGUAAGAAAAGUUCUUAUUUUAUUUCAGUUCAAUUUCAAAUUCUAGUGAAAUUUCAUUUCUAAUUUUAAUUUAGUCUAGUUUCUUAUUUUAGUUUAGUUCAAUAUCUAAUUUUUAUUCAGUUCAAUUCUUAUUUUAGAAAAAAAUUGAAUUGUUACUUUAUCUACAUUCUUCUAUUCAACAUCAGGGAGAAGGUGCCUCAUGUUAAAAGCGUGCCAAGAUUUUCUAAGUACCCCAGACCCAUCCUGGCGCCGCCCGGCCCCAACCUCCAACCUCCCUGGAUCCUGGCACUACCUCCUCCCUGGAUCCCGGCGCCGCACGCUCCUAUCUCCCCAGAUCCCCACGACGCCUAGUCCCCAACCUCUCUGGCUCCUGGCACCGCCAACCGCCAUCCUCUGCCAGCUCCGUUAGCCGCCUCCACCUGUUUCCUCCUGCGGGUCGAACGGUGCGAAUCUGGCCGACGUGGCAGGGCUGUGAGACUCGCCGGGGUCGAGCUCCUCCGCCUCUAGCCGUCGAUCCAUAGUUCAUUGUCAGUACAGGUUCUGAAACUGCCUAGUACAUGUUGGGGGACAUUUCUGGAAUCAUGUAUCCUAGCUAGCUUGCAGCUGUAAUUUUGAUUGCAUAGCAGUAUAGUUUAGUUGUCUCUGAAGUUUUGAUUCACAGCAGUACAAUUUAGUCCCAGCUGCCAUGAUUCUGCAAACCAUUGUGCUCCCAAAAGAUGGUGCUUUGUUGCAACAAGUUGUGGGAAAAAUGCAGUGAAAAAAAAUAAAAUGUGCUCCCACAAGUUCAUAUGAUAUAUUGUUGUUAAUUCAAUUUCUUUUAUAUACCUCUACACAUGUUUGUUGAAAUGCUGACACGGAGCUAGACUUGUUUUUUUGUUCAUGUUUCUUGUUUCUUAAAACAACCGGUAUACUACUAUCAAAAUUGAAGCCACAAUAAAGAUCUCAUCUCUAAAUUGAUGAUUCAGCCAUGUUUGCUUGUGUGUACUGCUGAACUGACAAUGUUACUAAACUUGUGUUCUCGCUGAUUCUGAACUGUUGCUGGUAGCAUUUGUGAUGCUCGUCUGAUUUUGGUUGGAAGUUUAAUGAAUCCAUACAUAGUUCAACUUUUAGGAAGUUAAAAGUUCAACGAGUGUCUUAGAGAAAACUUGGAAGUUUUGUCUAUAUAAAAAAGAUAACAAAAUAUAUGUGUUCUGACCUAAGAUGUUCAGGAAAGAGUUCCAGACCAUCCCCGGUCGCCGCGUUCCCGGGAAGCCAUGCGACAGCCACCACCACUGCGAGCAACAACCACCAUCACUGCUAGCUGCCGGUGCAGCGUCCCACCAGCCCCCAUGCGCCUCCAUCCCUCAAGCUCCCAGAUGCGUCGUCGUGAACCCUUUGUUCCCCAUCGCUGCCUCCUCCAACUCCUUUCAUGGCUCUGGAAAAUCACUGAUCAGUUCAGGUCGCCCGUGGAGUUUUAGAUAUAUGCAAAAUCGGAUUAGAGCACCAUGCUCUCACCCAAAAGUUUGAAAAACCAUUGCUUUCCGUUCUGGUAACAUAUGUUUUUGUUUCAGUUUUGCUAAUUCUUUCUCCAAUGGGCCUUUAUAUAUUAUCUUUCACUUGUCUUACUAUAUGAAAAAAUAUGCGGCCUUUAGCGAGCAAUCUUGCUCAGUUUUCUGGUUAAAAAAACAGACAACAUGGAUUUACCAUGUUCUAUCAAAGAAAGCUGGAGUUCAAAUUCUAAUUUUAGUACAGUGAAGAUCAAUGGGAAAAUGCACAAAAAGUUCAGACUCUUGUUUCCUAAAGUGUUUGUCUUGGUAUGUCUAGCCCAAACAAUCAUCAAUUUUUUAAAAAUAUUUCUCUGCUGUCAAAUAAAAGAUACAAUAAUUAUUAUGGACAUGUUCAUUACAAACUUUUGUAAUGGUGCAGUACACCUAUUUAAAAAAAUUAUAUAUUUACAAAA